UUUCACGAAGCAGCAGAACGAGAAAUGAAAAUAUUCCCUGUUCCGUUGUUCUCGCUUAUUUUUGCGCACGUCGCGUCCCCAGACUAGUCGAGUUCGUCGCCAUUACGCCGUCGCUGAUAAGCUAAUCGACGCUGUAAAAAGCACAGUUCACGGGUGACAUCGUCGUUUCGUUCACGAUACUUGCGCCGGUACGAUAACGCGAUACGAAACCUUCGAUACACCUGUUCCGGAGCUCCAAAGAUUACCAGGGCUUGCUGAGAUAUAGAACAGCAUAUAUGGGGUUAGAAAAGGUUGGACAGGUUUCAGAGUUUCGUCGAGAUUCGAUUUAUGAGCAGAGGAAGAGGAAAGUUCCCUUACAUUAGUACCUAUGACUCAAAGGACCACCGAGGAAGAAUUGGUGAUUUUUGAAAAAGAACAGCUAUUCGAAAGCUUCUCAAGGCAACGAAUACGAUCUGCGAUCGUUAGAUGUUUGGUAAAAAAGUGGAUGGACCAACAAAAAAUCAAUAUUCCAGGGCGUACGACGAAUUGAGAUACAAGGUAGUUGACGGCGAUUAGAGCUACCGGUGUGGCCCGAUUCUUGUGGUGUGACUAAUCUGUAAUUGGACAGAUUCGCAAACUACCGAGCAGCGAGUCGUUCCACGGGAUCUCUACCUUCGAAAUUGCAACCUACCUGUCCAGAGACUUCGUUUUAACAUACGCUAUGUAUAUUUAAUCAGUGUAUAGUACGAUCGUUGUAUAGUUCUAUUAAAAAUUCCUUUUUCAGACAACAGAGUACAGAUUCGCUUCAUUGACGCGAUAAGUAGUAAUGCCGAUAAAUUAGUGUCUUUAUGAUGUUUAUAAUUUUUAAUAUUGGUAAUAAUACCUUGAUCUUGGGCCUUCUUGCACAAUUGAAGUAAUAUUAGUGAAACUUCAUAUGUCACAAGAUAUAAGUGACCGGUAUUAAUUAUUUCUUUUGCAUAAUUUAUUAUGUAUUAUAUAAAUUUAUCAUAUACAUGUGUGUAUUAUAUUAUUAUACUAUAUAUAAAAUAUUGUAACGUAUUAUUUUGACAUCUCAGUAUUGUAACGAGCAUCAUGAUUAUAUUGGUCAAAUUUGAAAGAUAAUUUAUUGAAAGUAUAUGCUUCGCGAGGGGACCGCUAAAAUAUGUAUUUGACCAAUUGUUCGAUUAAUCAUCUUAUUUAUAACCCAGGAUAUAAGAGUAAUUAGUGAAAGCAUUUUUAGCAUAUUGUAUUAAGCAUAUUGUAUUGAUUUAAAGUUAACGAUUUGUCAGUUAUUAAUUCACUAAUAUUAUUGGUUAAUAAAUUUUGUUGAUCUAAUAAUAAUAGGAAUAGAGAGUCCAAAUUUACAAGCAGUGAAAAAAGGAUGGUAGCACACAUACUGUCAAAUCUAAUCAUCCAGUGUUGCACACACACUGUCAACCAACUAACAAAUAUAUUUUAAAUCCCCAAUAACCUGGCCAUCAUGGCCUUCCGGCUCCCAUAUCCUCAAACUCAGCACCACUUGUCAAAAGAUUAACGCAGUCUGGUCGAUUUCUCUCGUACUGUCAAAGAACGUUUCAGGAACCUCCGGAACGUUUCAUUGGUAGUUGGCCAGUCGCGAUCAUGCGAUCACGGUCGUGGCUGUCGUCUUGGAGAAACGCCAGGAAGGACCUUCAUCCUGAUAAAUGAUGCUCGCUACCGCCGUCACGGAAUAAUUACGCGGCUCUGGAAACACGGGAAGCGAGCUGGGGAAGAAAAACAGCGGCGAUCAUGGCGCGCCCAAGCUUGAAAAAUUAAAGGCGAGUGUCGCGUCUCGUCGCGUCGGUACGAGCGGUGUCGAAUCGUCGAGCUUAAGGGGAUCCCUUGACAAAUGAACGGCGGAAAGGAAAUUGCAGGAGAAACGCAGGUCCCACUGACAAAACUUCUGCCAGGGACAAACGCACACUCAACUGGCCGACAGAGAAAUUACAUUCCCGGGAAUAUGCUAAAUUAUGAAGCGGGCAAUCAGCUACCACGGGGCGCCGCCAUGGAUGCAAUCUCGCUUUUUGGUCUCUGUAGCACCUGGUGAAACACGGAUGAAAAAUAUAGCGGCCUGAAAUCAUCUAUUUUCGCGUUGCCGCGUCGACAGAAAGGAUCAAAUGAAAACUUCCAAUAAGGGUCUAAAGCAUACCACUGGAAACUAUUAGAUGUUUAACAUUUGCGAUUGGUAAUUUUGCAGUAAUUCAAUUGGAAAAGUAUGAAAUUGCAAAUUUCUGUAAUUAAGUUAAUGGAAAACUAUGAAAAGUUUUCUUUCAAAUAGCAUGGAAUGAUGGAUCAAAGAGAAGUUUUCGUAUGUUGUCAUUAAGCUUUGAUUUGACGAUGCAUAUAAGAUGCAUAAAGCAUUUGUAAAUUCAGUCUUAAUCUCAACAAAUGUUUUUUGAAGAGGAACGUACAGUCGCGAAUAUUGCAAUUGGUUUUAUCCGUAAAAGAAUCGAAAGGU
rnacentral:lncRNA from 1 species